CUCCAUGACGGUGAACACGGUGUCUUGAGUAUCUAGCACGACUGACAUUCAGACUUAAAGAUCUGCAAAAAAGACGCUACAGGAAUCGACAGUGGGUGACCACAGCUGUUGGAGCCUCUGGUGCAACAAUAAUGAACGAUUAAGCUCACCACAUAAUAAGAAGGUCACCUCAUUUUUAGUGGAAGCACUGGCUACAAACUUGGAAUUGAAGGCCUUGAUAAAAAUUACUUUGUGGCCUGCAAGACAUUACCAGAGCUAGCUGGUGUGGCCGCAGCACAGAGUCACCAGAGGAGGAAGAGG